rnacentral:rRNA from 1 species
UACGAAGGGGGCUAGCGUUGUUCGGAAUUACUGGGCGUAAAGCGCGUGUAGGCGGGUCUUUAAGGCAGGGGGGAAAUGCCAAGGCUCAACCUUGGAACUGCCUUUGAUACUGGAGACCUUGAGUCCGGGAGAGGUGAGUGGAAUUGCGAGUGUAGAGGUGAAAUUCGUAGAUAUUCGCAAGAACACCAGUGGCGAAGGCGGCUCACUGGCCCGGAACUGACGCUGAAGCACGAAGGCCAGGGGAGCAAACGGG